rnacentral:rRNA from 1 species
UACGGAGGGUGCAAGCGUUAAUCGGAAUUACUGGGCGUAAAGCGCACGCAGGCGGUUUGUUAAGUUAGAUGUGAAAUCCCCGGGCUUAACCUGGGAACUGCAUUUAAGACUGGCAGGCUAGAGUCUUGUAGAGGGGGGUAGAAUUCCAUGUGUAGCGGUGAAAUGCGUAGAGAUGUGGAGGAAUACCGGUGGCGAAGGCGGCCCCCUGGACAAAGACUGACGCUCAGGUGCGAAAGCGUGGGGAGCGAACAGG